UACGGAGGGUGCAAGCGUUAUCCGGAUUCACUGGGUUUAAAGGGUGCGUAGGUGGGCAGGUAAGUCAGUGGUGAAAUCUCCGAGCUUAACUCGGAAACUGCCGUUGAUACUAUUUGUCUUGAAUAUUGUGGAGGUAAGCGGAAUAUGUCAUGUAGCGGUGAAAUGCUUAGAUAUGACAUAGAACACCAAUUGCGAAGGCAGCUUACUACACAACGAUUGACGCUGAGGCACGAAAGCGUGGGGGAUCAAACAGG
rnacentral:rRNA from 1 species